GACGAACGCUGGCGGCGUGCCUAAUACAUGCAAGUAGAACGCAGUUGCGAACGGGUGAGUAACGCGUAGGUAACUGCCUGGUAGCGGGGGCUAACUAUUGGAAACGAUAGCUAAUACCGCAUACUACCAGAUGGACCUGCGUUGUAUUAGCUAGUUGGUGAGGUAACGGCUCACCAAGGCAACGAUACAUAGCCGACCUGGGAGGGUGGUCGGCCACACUGGGACUGGGGAACGGGCCAGACUCCUACGGGAGGCAGGAGUGGGGGAACUUCGGCAAUGGGGGGAAAGCUGACCGAGCAACGCCGCGGGAGUGGAGGAAGUUUUCGGGUCGUAAAGCUCUGUUGUUAAGGGAGCGGUACUUAACCAGAAAGGAACGGCUAACUACGUGCCAGCAGCCGCGGUAAUAC
rnacentral:rRNA from 1 species